CACACCAUGAGAGCUGGCUCAACCAGAAGUCGUUGAUGCUAACCGCGCAAGCGGGGGCAGGCGCCGAAGGUGGGGCUAGUGAUUGGGGUG
rnacentral:rRNA from 1 species